GCCUCAGUAACGGCGAGUGAAGCGGCAAAAGCUCAAAUUUGAAAUCUGGCUCUUUCAGGGUCCGAGUUGUAAUUUGUAGAAGAUGCUUCGGGUGUGGUCCCGGUCUAAGUUCCUUGGAACAGGACGUCAUAGAGGGUGAGAAUCCCGUAUGUGACUGGGUACCUACGCUCAUGUGAAGCUCUUUCGACGAGUCGAGUUGUUUGGGAAUGCAGCUCAAAAUGGGUGGUAAAUUUCAUCUAAAGCUAAAUAUUGGCCAGAGACCGAUAGCGCACAAGUAGAGUGAUCGAAAGAUGAAAAGCACUUUGGAAAGAGAGUUAAACAGUACGUGAAAUUGUUGAAAGGGAAGCGCUUGCAAUCAGACUUGCGCCUAGUUGAUCAUCCGGGCUUCUGCCCGGUGCACUCGAUUAGGCUCAGGCCAGCAUCGGUUUGGGUGGUUGGAUAAAGGCUUGGGGAACGUAGCCUCCUUCGGGGGGUGUUAUAGCCCCAGGUGCAAUGCAGCCUACCUGGACCGAGGACCGCGCUUCGGCUAGGAUGCUGGCGUAAUGGUUGUAAGCGACCCGUCUUGAAACACGGACCAAGGAGUCUAACAUUUAUGCGAGUGUUUGGGUGUUAAACCCAUACGCGUAAUGAAAGUGAACGGAGGUAAGAACCCUUAAGGGUGCAUUAUCGACCGAUCCUGAUGUCUUCGGAUGGAUUUGAGUAAGAGCAUAACUGUUGGGACCCGAAAGAUGGUGAUCUAUACGUGAAUAGGGUGAAGCCAGAGGAAACUCUGGUGGAGGCUCGCAGCGGUCUGACGUGCAAAUCGAUCGUCAAAUUUGCGUAUAGGGGGCGAAAAGACUAAUCGAAACCAU
rnacentral:rRNA from 1 species